AACGCACAUUGCGCCCAUUAGUAUUCUAGUGGGCAUGCCUGUUCGAGCGUCAUUUCAACCCUUAAGCCUAGCUUAGUGUUGGGAGACUGCCUAAUACGCAGCUCCUCAAAACCAGUGGCAGAGUUUUUACGUACUCUGAGCGCAGUAAUUCUAUUCUCGCUUUUGAACACGUCUAGACGAUAGCCAAAAACCGCUUGCUUCGGCAGCACUUUUUAAUGGUUGACCUCGGAUCAGGUAGGAAUACCCGCUGAACUUAA
rnacentral:misc_RNA from 1 species